rnacentral:rRNA from 1 species
UACGGGGGGGGCAAGCGUUGUUCGGAAUUAUUGGGCGUAAAGGGCGCGUAGGCGGCAUGGCAAGUGGAUGGUGAAAUCCCUCGGCUUAACCGAGGAACUGCCAUCCAGACUGCUUUGCUUGAGGCCGGGAGAGGUGAGUGGAAUUCCCAGUGUAGCGGUGAAAUGCGUAGAUAUUGGGAGGAACACCAGUGGCGAAGGCGGCUCACUGGACCGGUUCUGACGCUGAGGCGCGAAAGCGUGGGGAGCAAACGGG